UACGUAGGGUGCAAGCAUUAAUCGGAUUUAUUGGGCGUAAAGGGCGCGUAGGCGGGGAUGCAAGUCAGAUGUGAAAUCCCGGAGCUCAACCCCGGAACAGCAUUUGAAACUACAUUUCUAGAGGGCAGGCGGAGAAAACGGAAUUCCACAAGUAGCGGUGAAAUGCGUAGAUAUGUGGAAGAACACCAGUGGCGAAGGCGGUUUUCUAGUUUAUACCUGACGCUGAGGCGCGAGAGCAAGGGGAGCAAACAGG
rnacentral:rRNA from 1 species